UAUUUAUUUAACACUUCGUAUUACGAAAGGAUUAUUGAACAUAGAUAGGAAGCAGAAAUGCAACGCAAACUUUAUGAAAUAGGUAAAAUUUUCAAAUUGAAAUCAACAAUUAAGGUGCUUCUUACACGAACAGAUUUUUAAAGGAUGCUCAAAGGUGUAAUGAUUAAACUAUUUUUUUAAUUGUUUUAAUACUUUACUAAAUUUCAGGUAAGGAUCUUUCUCUGUAUACUCUUUAUACUUUCACGAGCUAUUUCAUAUCAUUCUUAUAAUUAACCGUCACAAUUGACUGACAGUGCUGAUGAAUAGCGAAUUUUACGAUGGAUUUGAUAUGUACUGUUUAAACUGUUUCGCAAAUGAUUUUUUAGAAAGAAUAACAAGUCACACAAGAGUACAUGCUGGAGUAAAACUCCUACAUGACAUUGUGCUAAGUCACCAGAAAAAUACAUGGGCCUUUCCAUGAGGAAACCUGUGUUAGUAAUAUAAUAUGAUUAUUGAAUGACGAAAUUAAAAACCAUUGUGUUUCUUGUGUUCAUGCAGAAACUAUUAUAUUUAUUUCUGUUAUCUAAGUCAAAUUCUUCUUCAUUUAACCUGUAAAUGUUAUUUGUGUUUUCAUGACAACCGAAACUCCAAAGCACAGAUACACCAUGAGAAUACAGAGCUAAAAGAAACGUGCCAACUACGCGCAGUGAUGUAGUUCGGACACGCCGGAUCUUACUACUUUCGUUGACUUCUAGACAAAGCUGGUUCUCGGCUGAGAUUGAUGAAUUUCUAAUUUUUGGGCAGUUCUUCCGGACGUGGUAGUAUUCGCCGCAGUUAAACCAGGGCCCUGGUUCUCCGUAGUUGGUUCAAAACUGUUGCAUGCAGCUACCGGAAGUUGGGCUGUUGAGUGGGCCACGAAAGGACUUCCCUCUAGCGCUUUCAUGCAUGGGUUGAAAUCAAGUGUCAGCAAACGAGCCACAAGACGUAGUACCAGUAUAAGCACCAUCACCAGUACGAGGAACUGAAGCAGUGGCCACAACCUUUCCAUACGAAUUUGAACGCUUGCGUUUGAGCGCACGAGUUACUGCCUCAUAAACGUUCGUCAUCUGUAUCACUGGAUAUAAGAUUAGAUUCGAAAGUUUCUUGCAAGACUUCUCGCAUAACUGAAACAACUGGCAUAGGUCCAUUAGAAUCUCUUUCGUAUGUUCGUUAUUUUCAGCCAUGCCACGUAUACAUUAUUUAAAUGUAUGCUACGUAAAAAUGUCCAUGUUAAUCGGUCGGUUACCCAAAGCUGAAUGACUUUACACAAUGCAACCACUGCAAAUAAUCGUGCAAACCGUUUCACGCAUCAUGCUGUCGCCUAUCGGUACUACAUUACACUUGAUGGAAAAUAACUUCCUUUUGAUUCGGAUCAAGGCUGAUUCGGCCCAGACUGAUUCGAACCAAAUACUUUGGUUGAUUCGGACAACAUACUUUAAAUAAAAGGUAGAUAAUGACCAUAUUUAUUGGUUGAUUCAAGAAUGUUCAGAAAAUAAUGUUCAUUAUACUAUUAUGUAGGGAUUUAGCUUAAAAUUAACACUAUACAAGCAGGUAAGAAGUUUUAACAAGCUAAAAUGCAUCAUCUAUAAUUUUAUUAUUCUUUGCAUCAGAAAUUAAACUUAAUACUCAUAAAUGUUAAUUUUACUUAAGACAUUAGUAUCAAGAAAACUUAAACAAUCUGGGUCGAAUAAGCUAAGUAAAUGUAGGCCGAAUCUGCCAUGGUCAGAGUGUGCCUGUAUUCGGCUCGAUGAAAUCCGCAAAAAGCACAUGAACUGGAUACAUUCAACUAACUUUUAUUAUUGGAAAAACUGCUCACCAAAGACAGACAGAAAUAGUUGAUAGUGUAACAGACUGAAAAUACUUCAGUCCCGACCGGGAAUCAAACCCACGACCUCUCACACCUAAGGCGGUCACUGUACCAUGUCGCUAUAAAAGCUGGCUCAAUAGCAGGGAAGUAUAAGUGCACCCAGUACUACAAUCCUUUACAGAAAAAGAAAAUGGUCCGUGGUGAAUGGAUGCGGUGAAUGGUCAGUGAAUGAUUGGUAAAAAGAAAGUGAAUGAAGUUGGGAUCACUAACUUUUCAUUAUUUUUUUAUUAACUUCUAACAUGCAAAUGAGGUCUGCUGUCAUUGAGCUGCGGUGAAUGAGCUGCGAAGAGUCUGCGGUGAAUGAGCUUCGAACGUCAAGCGUUGAAUGAUCUGCGCACUGUCUGCGGUGAUUGAGCUGUGAACAGUCUGCGGUGAAUGAGCUGCGAACGUCCUGCGGUGAAUGAUCUGCAAACUGUCUGCGGUGAAUGAGCUGUGAACAGUCUGCGGUGAAUGAUCUGCGAAAUGUCUACAAUGAAUGAGCUGCAUCUGUUUGGAAUUACAUGAAUCAAAUAAAUUGAUUUUUUUUUUUAUAUAUAUCACAUUUUACUUUGACGUGCCUUGUGUGUAUCAUAGACAAUUAAAAGGCACUUACUGUAGCUGAUACCAUGUUAUUAACAUAAAUCUGAUGUACUCUGCAUGGUCCAGAAUUUCAAACUAUACCAACCAUUUUGCCGCCAAAACUGGUGCAGCUAUCUUAUUCACAAAUCAUGAAAUUCAAGUUUCUCCGGUGAAUCAAAAGUAAAUUAAUGAUAUAAAAUUAAAAAUACCAAGUCCUGCGGUGAAUAAGAAGAUAACACUGGAGUCUGCAAUUAAUAGAAUGUUAAAAAAUGUUAAAAAAGAACUUUGACCGCCAAUCAUUAACCGGGUGCGGUGAAUUAACAGCGAACUGCUGCUGUGAACAGCUUCAUUAACUUUCUGUUAACUUUCUAUUAACUUUCCAUUCACCGGAGAAGGCUUGUACAAUAAGGGAUAGGAUUCAGUGAGAACAGCAAAGUCAACAAUCAAUAUGGGAGUGCCACAAUGGCAUAUUCUCCUGUAACAUAUCCUGUGCUAGUCCGAAAAUUCAGCAUGCCCACUCAUUUUUAAAAUCAUGGGUACAAGUACCCCCUGCCUUGGCAAGAUAGGGGUACACUUCAAAAUUUGGGGAUACACUACAUAGCAGAUCUGAAUUUUUUUCUAUUGAACUAAAGAAAUUUGCUUAAACAUGUUUUAUUCGUACAGAUCUAUGUCCUGCUUUGCAGUGAUUUACAUGUAUCGGAGAUAAAAUAAAGCAUUCAUUUUUUCAUCAUGUUUUAUUUACUAGUACUGUAAUGAAGUAAUGAAGUUCAUGCUACAUUUAUUGGGAUAUUUCGAGUGAAAUAGCAGGGAGCAGCACCCUGGCCUUUUUUAGCAGCGCUCUUCUGCCCGAUUCGCCACCCCCUUUGACCCUUCAGCAGUAAAUUAUUUCUAA
rnacentral:lncRNA from 1 species